rnacentral:lncRNA from 8 species
AGGGGGGAGCGAGAGCAAGAGGGGGGAGAGCGAGAGAGGGCGAGAGGGGGGAGAGCGAGAGAGGGCGAGAGGGCGGAGAGAGAGAGAGAGAGCGAGAGGGCGGAGAGAGAGAGGGCGAGAGGGGGGAGAGGGAGCGGAGAGAGAGCGCGAGGGCAAGAGGGCGGAGAGAGAGAGCGAGGGCAAGAGGGCGGAGAGAGAGAGCGCGAGGGCAAGAGGGCGGAGAGAGAGAGCGCGAGGGCAAGAGGGCGGAGAGAGAGAGCGCGAGGGCAAGAGGGCGGAGAGAGAGAGCGCGAGGGCAAGAGGGCGGAGAGAGAGAGCGCGAGGGCAAGAGGGCGGAGAGAGAGAGCGCGAGGGCAAGAGGGCGGAGAGAGAGAGCGCGAGGGCAAGAGGGCGGAGAGAGAGAGAGCGCGAGGGCAAGAGGGCGGAGAGAGAGAGAGCGCGAGGGCAAGAGGGCGGAGAGAGAGAGAGCGCGAGGGCAAGAGGGCGGAGAGAGAGAGAGCGCGAGGGCAAGAGGGCGGAGAGAGAGAGAGCGCGAGGGCAAGAGGGCGGAGAGAGAGAGAGCGAGGGCAAGAGGGCGGAGAGAGAGAGAGCGAGGGCAAGAGGGCGGAGAGAGAGAGCAAGCGGGCGGAGAGAGAGAGCGAGGGCAAGAGGGCGGAGAGAGAGAGCGAGGGAGGGCAAGAGGGCGGAGAGAGAGAGCAAAGGCAAGAGGGCGGAGAGAUAGAGCAAAGGCAAGAGGGGGGAGAGAGCAAGGGCGAGAGCGGGGGAGAGAGCAAGGGCGAGAGCGGGGGAGAGAGCAAGGGCGAGAGCGGGGGAGAGAGCAAGGGCGAGAGCGGGGGAGAGAGCAAGGGCGAGAGCGGGGGAGAGAGCAAGGGCGAGAGCGGGGGAGAGAGCAAGGGCGAGAGCGGGGGAGAGAGCAAGGGCGAGAGCGGGGGAGAGAGCAAGGGCGAGAGCGGGGGAGAGAGCAAGGGCGAGAGCGGGGGAGAGAGCAAGGGCGAGAGGGGGGAGAGAGAGCGAGAGGGGGGAGAGAGAGCGAGAGGGGGGAGAGAGGGAGAGGGGGCGGAGAGGGAGAUAGAAGGGGGGAGAGAGUGUAUUGGAAUUGACAGCGAACGAGGGGUCAGGACAGACAAUCACACACUCUUACAGUCACGUCCAGAAGGAGAUGGACAGAGAUGUUUUCCAAGACUUCAGACUUUUCCCUGGCAUUUAGAUGCUGUCCAUCGGAAAGGCUCACUGACAAUGAGUGGAGGUAGAGAUGAGAAGACAGAAAAGUCAAAUUCAUUUAAAGUGGAAUGCCUCUGUCCCUGA